UACGAGAGGCCCAAACGUUAUUCGGAAUUACUGGGCUUAAAGAGUUCGUAGGCGGCGCAGCAAGUAGGGUGUGAAAGCCCUCGGCUCAACCGAGGAAUUGCGCUCUAAACUACUGUGCUUGAGGAACCUAGAGGUGAGCAGAACAGAUGGUGGAGCGGUGAAAUGCGUUGAUAUCAUCUGGAAUACCGGAGGCGAAGGCGGCUCACUGGGGGUUUUCUGACGCUGAGGAACGAAAGCCAGGGUAGCGAACGGG
rnacentral:rRNA from 1 species